CCCAAUCAUUCAAAAUACUUAGGUGUUUAAUGUCAAAAUCCGGAAUUGAAUAUCAAAAAAUUCAAAAGGCAGGAUUCAACGUUAACUUAGCAUCUACACAAUUAGUCAAGCAUCCAAUUAAGUACAAAAAUACAGUUGAUAUUUAUACAACAUCACCCGGAAAUAAAGUUCAAGACAGAAAAAUGGAAAUAAAUCUUUAAAGCUUUGAAUCUCUUCAAUGGCUCCUUGAUUGAUCGCCUUUGAUUUCUCUUUAUCAAUCCAAGAAAUAUCGAAAGCAGAUAUGGAUAUAUUUUGUAGCAAAUCUUCUAAUAAAGCUUGAAAAGAAUAUGAAUUUAAAGAUCAAAAGCUUCCUUCCUGGCUCCAAGAAUUAUGAAUUUUGUAUCUCCAGAGCUUCUAUGGCUUGAAUGAUUUGUAUGUAAUGAAUCCCCACAAGUCUGACCGGAAAAAAACUAUGUGAUCUCAUGGGGCAACCCAUUGCAAUUGCGGAGUUAUUUUUUUGGAAAUUGUUUGAUGUACAGAAAAGAUUCUUACA
rnacentral:lncRNA from 1 species